UGCCUAAUACAUGCAAGUCGAACGCGUUGGCCCAAUUGAUUGACGGUGCUUGCACCUGAUUGAUUUUGGUCGCCAACGAGUGGCGGACGGGUGAGUAACACGUAGGUAACCUGCCCAGAAGCGGGGGACAACAUUUGGAAACAGAUGCUAAUACCGCAUAACAGCGUUGUUCGCAUGAACAACGCUUAAAAGAUGGCUUCUCGCUAUCACUUCUGGAUGGACCUGCGGUGCAUUAGCUUGUUGGUGGGGUAAUGGCCUACCAAGGCGAUGAUGCAUAGCCGAGUUGAGAGACUGAUCGGCCACAAUGGGACUGAGACACGGCCCAUACUCCUACGGGAGGCAGCAGUAGGGAAUCUUCCACAAUGGGCGCAAGCCUGAUGGAGCAACACCGCGUGAGUGAAGAAGGGUUUCGGCUCGUAAAGCUCUGUUGUUAAGAAGAACACGUAUGAGAGUAACUGUUCAUACGUUGACGGUAUUUAACCAGAAAGUCACGGCUAACUACGUGCCAGCAGCCGCGGUAAUACGUAGGUGGCAAGCGUUUUCCGGAUUUAUUGGGCGUAAAGAGAGUGCAGGCGGUUUCCUAAGUCUGAUGUGAAAGCCUUCGGCUUAACCGGAGAAGUGCAUCGGAAACUGGAUAACUUGAGUGCAGAAGAGGGUAG
rnacentral:rRNA from 2 species